UCAACGGAUCAAUUUAGUUAA
rnacentral:piRNA from 1 species